rnacentral:rRNA from 1 species
AUUGAACGCUGGCGGCAGGCCUAACACAUGCAAGUCGAGCGGUAGCACAGAGAGCUUGCUCUCGGGUGACGAGCGGCGGACGGGUGAGUAAUGUCUGGGAAACUGCCUGAUGGAGGGGGAUAACUACUGGAAACGGUAGCUAAUACCGCAUAACGUCGCAAGACCAAAGUGGGGGACCUUCGGGCCUCAUGCCAUCAGAUGUGCCCAGAUGGGAUUAGCUAGUAGGUGGGGUAAUGGCUCACCUAGGCGACGAUCCCUAGCUGGUCUGAGAGGAUGACCAGCCACACUGGAACUGAGACACGGUCCAGACUCCUACGGGAGGCAGCAGUGGGGAAUAUUGCACAAUGGGCGCAAGCCUGAUGCAGCCAUGCCGCGUGUGUGAAGAAGGCCUUCGGGUUGUAAAGCACUUUCAGCGGGGAGGAAGGCGUUAAGGUUAAUAACCUUGGCGAUUGACGUUACCCGCAGAAGAAGCACCGGCUAACUCCGUGCCAGCAGCCGCGGUAAUACGGAGGGUGCAAGCGUUAAUCGGAAUUACUGGGCGUAAAGCGCACGCAGGCGGUCUGUCAAGUCGGAUGUGAAAUCCCCGGGCUCAACCUGGGAACUGCAUUCGAAACUGGCAGGCUAGAGUCUUGUAGAGGGGGGUAGAAUUCCAGGUGUAGCGGUGAAAUGCGUAGAGAUCUGGAGGAAUACCGGUGGCGAAGGCGGCCCCCUGGACAAAGACUGACGCUCAGGUGCGAAAGCGUGGGGAGCAAACAGGAUUAGAUACCCUGGUAGUCCACGCCGUAAACGAUGUCGAUUUGGAGGUUGUGCCCUUGAGGCGUGGCUUCCGGAGCUAACGCGUUAAAUCGACCGCCUGGGGAGUACGGCCGCAAGGUUAAAACUCAAAUGAAUUGACGGGGGCCCGCACAAGCGGUGGAGCAUGUGGUUUAAUUCGAUGCAACGCGAAGAACCUUACCUGGUCUUGACAUCCACAGAACUUUCCAGAGAUGGAUUGGUGCCUUCGGGAACUGUGAGACAGGUGCUGCAUGGCUGUCGUCAGCUCGUGUUGUGAAAUGUUGGGUUAAGUCCCGCAACGAGCGCAACCCUUAUCCUUUGUUGCCAGCGGUUAGGCCGGGAACUCAAAGGAGACUGCCAGUGAUAAACUGGAGGAAGGUGGGGAUGACGCCAAGUCAUCAUGGCCCUUACGACCAGGGCUACACACGUGCUACAAUGGCAUAUACAAAGAGAAGCGACCUCGCGAGAGCAAGCGGACCUCAUAAAGUAUGUCGUAGUCCGGAUUGGAGUCUGCAACUCGACUCCAUGAAGUCGGAAUCGCUAGUAAUCGUAGAUCAGAAUGCUACGGUGAAUACGUUCCCGGGCCUUGUACACACCGCCCGUCACACCAUGGGAGUGGGUUGCAAAAGAAGUAGGUAGCUUAACCUUCGGGAGGGCGCUUACCACUUUGUGAUUCAUGACUGGGGUGA